rnacentral:hammerhead_ribozyme from 1 species
AUGCAUCUGACGAGUCCCAAAUAGGAUGAAACGCGUGUCCUGGAU